UGGGGAAUAUUGGACAAUGGGGGAAACCCUGAUCCAGCGACGCCGCGUGAGUGAAGAAGUGUUUCGGCAUGUAAAGCUCUAUCAGCAGGGAAGAAAAUGACGGUACCUGACUAAGAAGCCCCGGCUAACUACGUG
rnacentral:rRNA from 1 species